AUAUGCAAAUCCUGCGCGGAGAGGAGCCGGUGCAUUCCUGGCGCGAUCGCCUUUUAUUGAAGCUUUUAAUUAAAGGGGCCAGUUGGCGAGCCCCUGAAACAACCGCCAAAACCCCCAAAAGAGAAAAAUAAACGCUGUAGCCUUCGGGAACGGUUGUUUCGGCUCCUGUUCUGUGGGCGGCUGAGGACCGCCGGCUGCCCGGCUCGGAGAAGAACAGUUUGAAAACUGCAGUGCAGACAGCUGCGGGACUUUCACAAAGGUACACAGCUCGCACGUGGCAGACACAGAGUUCGAGCACCUCUCCUGGACCCUAGGUAGAAGCUCUUAGGAAAGGUCACCAAGGUUUUCAGGAUACGGACUCGAAGAGGUCAGAGAUUUUGCCCCCCUUACUCACCACAUGACAGGUACUCAGUAAAUAGUUUCAUAAAACACGUUGUUAAAGGCAGGAAGAAAACUGGGUUUUAUUAAGG